CAAACAACAAAGACAUCAGCUCAUAUAAUAUUGCAUUUAUUUCUUUUAUUAAAUUUAAUUGGGCAUGAAAUGUAGAUAAUUACAUAAUAAUCCUAGUUCCUGCUAGUAAACAUUACAGGUAGUGGCCACAUUACUAAGACCACACUCCUGAGAGUGUAAACAUUGCAGGUAGUGGCCGAAUUACUAAGACUGCACUCCUGAGAGUGUAAACAUUACAGGUAGUGGCAACAUUACUAAGACCACACUCCUGAGAGUGUAAACAUUACAGGUAGUGGUCACAUUACUAAGACUGCACUCUUGAGAGUGUAAACAUUACAGGUAGGGGCCACAUUACUAAGACUGCACUCCUGAGAGUGUAAACAUUACAGAUAGUGGCCACAUUACUAAGACCACACUCCUGAGAGUGGAAACAUUACAGGUAGUGGUCACAUUACUAAGACUGCACUCUUGAGAGUGUAAACAUUACAGGUAGUGGUCACAUUACUAAGACUGCACUCUUGAGAGUGCAAACAUUACAGGUAGUGGUCACAUUACUAAGACUGCACUCUUGAGAGUGCAAACAUUACAGGUAGUGGUCACAUUACUAAGACUGCACUCUUGAGAGUGUAAACAUUACAGGUAGGGGCCACAUUACUAAGACCACACUCCUGAGAGUGGAAACAUUACAGGUAGUGGUCACAUUACUAAGACUGCACUCUUGAGAGUGCAAACAUUACAGGUAGUGGUCACAUUACUAAGACUGCACUCUUGAGAGUGUAAACAUUACAGGUAGUGGCCACAUUACUAAGACCACAGUCCUGACAGCAUGGACAUGAUCAUUAUACAACAUUUAAGGAUGAUCUCUAUAACAUUAUCAUUAAUUAUACAACAUUUUAGGAUGUUCUGUGUAACAUCAUCAAUAAAGAUAUUUUGCAUACAUGUAACGAUGCACUUGUAUAGAACAGUUUGUAUUUGGCACCAGUAUUAUAUGUGUACAUCACAGUGUUAAAUCUCUUCAACACUAAACAUGAUAUGUACAUUGUCAUUGUGUCAUUUAGCUGUUUGUUCAUUAUGUGUACACAUCUUAAACAAUGUCCUUGCUCAACUGACCAGUUAUUACACCCUCCAUCCCUCACCCAAUAUCAAACUCCUCCCUGUGUCUGAUAACCCUAGCCCCUCCAUCCCUCACCCAAUAUCAAACUCCUCCCUCUGUCUGAUAACCCUAGCCCCUCCAUCCCUCACCCAAUAUCAAACUCCUCCCUGUGUCUGAUAACCCUAGCCCCUCCAUCCCUCACCCAAUAUCAAACUCCUCCCUCUGUCUGAUAACCCUAGCCCCUCCAUCCCUCACCCAAUAUCAAACUCCUCCCUGUGUCUGAUAACCCUAGCCCCUCCAUCCCUCACCCAAUAUCAAACUCCUCCCUCUGUCUGAUAACCCUAGCCCCUCCAUCCCUCACCCAAUAUCAAACUCCUCCCUGUGUCUGAUAACCCUAGCCCCUCCAUCCCUCACC